CAAUUUCUUCAUUUAUAAUCCUGGGGUCUUUCACAAUCCAGCCACCAAAUUACACACACAAAAGUUCUCAUCUUUAAUCUCUUCUCUCUCUCUCUCUCUCUCUCAAUCCAUUUUCUUUUAACAUACACAGAAAUGGAAAACACCAUUGAAGAAUUUGAAGAUGCUCUCUCGUUAUGUGACCUUUCUGAUCUCUGUGACCAUGAAACUGAACCCAGCAAUGAGAUUCCAAGCUCCCCUUCAAGCCAAGACUUCUUUGAAUUUAUCUCCACCUCAGAAACAAACUCUACGGUUGAUGAUAAUAUCAUCUUCUGUGGGAAAGUCAUUUCCUGCAGAACAGAAGACGAUCAAAGAAACCCACCUUUCAAAUCAUCAACCUCGUCAUUGCUAACAAAAAACAGGGCUUCAAAUUCAUCCUCCAAGCAUUCUUCAAAGAGUGGUACUUUUCGUUGCCCGUCUGCUAAUUCCAGGAAGC
rnacentral:misc_RNA from 1 species